UACGGGGGGGGCAAGCGUUGUUCGGAAUUACUGGGCGUAAAGGGCUCGUAGGCGGCCAACUAAGUCAGACGUGAAAUCCCCAGGCUCAACCUGGGAACUGCGUCUGAUACUGGUUGGCUUGAAUCCGGGAGAGGGAUGCAGAAUUCCAGGUGUAGCGGUGAGAUGCGUAGAUAUCUGGAGGAAUACCGGUGGCGAAGGCGGCAUCCUGGACCGGCAUUGACGCUGAGGAGCGAAAGCCAGGGGAGCAAACGGG
rnacentral:rRNA from 1 species